rnacentral:tRNA from 1 species
UGGGAUGUAGCUUAGUGAUAGAGUUUUUGCUUGCCUAGCAUGUGUGAGGUCCUGGGUUCAAUCCCCAGCACUGCAA